GCCGGAGUGGUGAAAUAGGUAGACGCAGGGGACUCAAAAUCCCCCGCCAGCGAUGGCGUGCCGGUUCGAUUCCGGCCUCCGGCACCA
rnacentral:tRNA from 1 species